GAACGAGGAUAUAUCCUUCGGGAUAUAAGCCGAGUGGCGCAAGGGUGAGUAAUGCAUAGAUUACCUGCCUCUAGGAUAAGGACAACUUUGUGAAAACGAAGCUAAUACUUAAUAAUACAAAAGAUAAUAAUUUUCUUUUGUCAAUGGGAGGGUAGCAAUACCUUUUGCCUAGAGAGGGGUUUAUGUCCUAUCAGCUUGUUGGUGGGGUAAUGGCCUACCAAGGCGAAGACGGGUAGCCGGUCUUAGAGGAUGGUCGGCCACACUGGGACUGAGACACUGCCCAGACUUCUACGGAAGGCUGCAGUCGAGAAUCUUUCGCAAUGCCCGAAAGGGUGACGAAGCGACGCCGCGUGAGUGAGGAAGGCCUUAGGGUUGUAAAGCUCUGUCAGGAGUUAAGAAAUAUAAGUGUGUUAAUACCACGUUUAUUUGACGAAGGCUCCAAAGGAAGCCACGGCUAACUCUGUGCCAGCAGCCGCGGUAAUACAGAGGUGGCAAGCGUUGUUCGGAAUUAUUGGGCGUAAAGAGCACGUAGGUGGGUUUGUAAGUCAGAUGUGAAAGCCUUCUGUUCAACGGAAGAAUUGCAUCUGAAACUGCAAGUCUUGAGUGUAGGAGGGGAGAAUGGAACUUCUGGUGGAGCGGUGAAAUGCGUAGAUAUCAGAAGGAACGCCGGCGGCGAAAGCAAUUCUCUGGCCUAUUACUGACGCUCAGUGUGCGAAAGCUAGGGGAGCAAACUGGAUUAGAUACCCCGGUAGUCCUAGCCGUAAACGAUGGGCACUAAGUAGAGGGAAUUACCGAUGUUCUCUCUGCCGUAGCUAACGCAUUAAGUGCCCCGCCUGGGGAGUACGGCCGCAAGGCUAAAACUCAAAAGAAUUGACGGGGGCUCGCACAAGCGGUGGAGCAUGUGGCUUAAUUCGAUGCAACGCGAAAAACCUUACCGGGGCUUGACAUGGUAGAAGUAGGAACCCGAAAGGGUAACGAACGGUAUCCAGUCCGUAGCUAUCACAGGUGUUGCAUGGCUGUCGUCAGCUCGUGUCGUGAGACGUUGGGUUAAGUCCCCUAACGAGCGAAACCCUUGUUUUUAGUUACCAGCGGGUUAUGCCGGGUACUCUAGAAAGACUGCCGUCGUCAAGACGGAGGAAGGUGGGGAUGACGUCAAGUCAUCAUGGCCCUUAUGCCCCGGGCUGCACACGUGCUACAAUGGUCGGUACAAACGGAAGCGAGGCCGAGAGGUGAAGCGAAUCCUAAAAAGCCGAUCUCAGUUCGGAUUGGAGGCUGAAAUUCGCCUUCAUGAAGUUGGAAUCGCUAGUAAUCGCGGAUCAGCAAUGCCGCGGUGAAUAUGUUCCCGAGCCUUGUACACACCGCCCGUCAAGCCACCCAAGCAGGAUGCACCCGAAAACAUUAUAUCUAACCAGGGCAACUUGGAGGAAAGUGUUGAAGGAGUGUUUUGUGA
rnacentral:rRNA from 1 species